AAAAAAAAAAAAAAGGAAAACAAAAAUGGGGGCAAUUGGUGUGUGUUGGAAGUGGUCGUGGAGCGUGGGUGUUGGGUUGAAGAGAGAAUAAAAAUAAAAUGGGAAAAAAUGAAGAGUCCCCUCGGCUAGUGUGUGGGAGUUAGCAUGGGGAAGAAAAAAAAAAAAGAUGGGAAACCGGCCACCUUGGGAAUGGGGGAAGGAGAAUAAGAAAAUAAUAAUAAUAAUAAUAAAGAAAGUGA
rnacentral:lncRNA from 1 species